UACGAAGGGGGCUAGCGUUGCUCGGAAUCACUGGGCGUAAAGGGUGCGUAGGCGGGUUUUUAAGUCAGGGGUGAAAUCCUGGAGCUCAACUCCAGAACUGCCUUUGAUACUGAAGAUCUUGAGUCCGGGAGAGGUGAGUGGAACUGCGAGUGUAGAGGUGAAAUUCGUAGAUAUUCGCAAGAACACCAGUGGCGAAGGCGGCUCACUGGCCCGGUACUGACGCUGAGGGGCGAAAGCGUGGGGAGCAAACAGG
rnacentral:rRNA from 1 species